rnacentral:rRNA from 1 species
GGUUUGAUUAUGGCUCAGAUUGAACGCUGGCGGGAUGCUUUACAUACAAGUCGAACGUAGCCUGGACUUCGGUCUGGUGGCAGUGGCGAACGGGUGAGUAAUGUAUCGGAACGUGCCUAGUAGCGGGGGAUAACGCGAAAGCGCUAAUACCGCAUACGCCCUUCGGGGGAAAGCGGGGGACCUUCGGGCCUCGCAUAUAAACGGCCGAUAUCGGAUUAGCUGAGUUGGUGGGGUAACGGCUCUGGGCGACGAUCGCAGCUGGUUUGAGAGGACGACCAGCCACGCUGGGACUGAGACACGGCCCAGACUCCUACGGAGGCAGCAGUGGGGAAUUUGGACAAUGGAAACACAGUCCAGCCAUCCGCGUGCGAUGAAGGCCUUCGGGUUGUAAAAGCACUUUUGGCAGGAAAGAAACGGCACGGGAUAAUACCCCGUGCAACUGACAGUACCUGCAGAAUAAGCACCGGCUAACUACGUGCCAGCACAACCGCGGUAAUACGUAAGUUUCAAGCCGUUAAUCGGAAUUACUGGGCGUAAAGCGUGCGCAGGCGGUUCGGAAAAGAUGUGAAAUCCCAGGCUUAACUUUGGGGCUAAAGCGCUACCGAGCUAGAAGGUAUGUCAGAGGAAGGUGGAGAUUCCGCGUGUAGCGGUGGUAAAUACAAAGAUAUGCGGGGGAACACCGAUGGCGAAAAAUGCCAGCCUCCUGGGAUAACACUGACGCUCAUGCACGAAAGCGUGAGGCAAACGGGAUUAGAUACCUGGUGAAGUCCGCCUAAACGAUGUCAACUAGCUGUUAGGGCCUUCGGGCCUUGGUAGCGCAGCUAACGCGUGAAGUUGACCGCCUGGGAAGUACGGUCGCAAGAUUAAAACUCAAAGGAAUUGACGGGGACCCGCACAAGCGGUGGAUGAUGUGGAUUAAUUCCGAUGCAACGCGAAAAACCUUACCUACCCUUGACAUGUCUGGAAUCCCGAAAGAGAUUUGGGAGUGCUCAUAAAGAGAACCGGAACACAGAUUUUCAUGGCUGUCGUCAGCUCGUGUCGUGGAGUGUUGGAGUUGAUCCCGCAACAGGCACAACCCUUGUCAUUAGUUGCUACGAAAGGGCACUCUAAUGAGACUGCCGGUGACAAACCGGAGGAAGGUGGGGAUGACGUCAGAGUCCUGCCCGGCCCUUAUGGGUAGGGCCACACGUCCUUACAAUGGUCGGGACAGAGGGUCGCCAACCCGCGAGGAGCCAAUCCCAGAAACCCGAUCGUAGUCCGGAUCGCAGUCUGCAACUCGACUGCGUGAAGUCGGAAUCGCCUGGUAAUCGCCGGAUCAGCAUGUCGCGGUGAAUACGUUCCCGGGUCUUGUACACACCGCCCGUCACACCAUGGGAGUGGGUUUUACCAGAAGUAGUUAGCCUAACUUAGAAAGGAGGGCGAUUACCACGGUAGGAUUCAUGACUGGGGUGAAGUCGUAACAAGGUAA